AAGAAACUAUCCUCUUUUUAUCAUCUCUCUCUUCCAUAUUCUUUUGUUUUCACCAUUUUUAAUCUCUCUUUCAAAAUCAUUGUCGUUCUAUAAUUCUUACAAAAUCAUGAAAAUUAUGAGGUUAUCUCAAAAUUCACAAUCACAAUCUAUGUUUAUCCUAAAUUUCCUUUAUUUUGUCAGUUUUGUAUCUUUUUCUCUAUUCGAGGGAUGCUGGAAUUGGGAAAGAAGAAAAAUUGAAUCGUUGUUUGGGAGAGCACUCCAAUUUGAUGGUGUAGAAGAAAAGAAUGUGAAGAAGCGAGCAUGAGAGCUUGAAGUUUCCUACGGAGGAAGCGGAGGUGGUGGUUGGUAAAGAUAGUUUGAUUAACGUUUUUGAUGAAACAGAUCGUUUGAAGUCUUUUUCUCUCUUCUUUGACACUUUUUUUUCUCUCUCUUGGUCAUUAGUUCACAUCGAACAAAAAUAUAGUUGUCCAUUAGUUACUGUUCAAGUGGUGUAGUUGAUAUGGUUAUCAUGUGAUUCAUGCCAUGUUUUUUACAUUAGCUACAAUCACCAAUUUCCCAGACAUCAUCCAUUUUGUUUUG